UACGAAGGGGGCGAGCGUUGUUCGGAUUUACUGGGCGUAAAGGGCGCGCAGGCGGCUUUGUUUGUCAGGCGUGAAAGCCCCGGGCUUAACCUGGGAACUGCGUUUGAUACGGCAGGGCUAGAGUUCGGGAGAGGAGAGUGGAAUUCCCAGUGUAGAGGUGAAAUUCGUAGAUAUUGGGAAGAACACCGGUGGCGAAGGCGGCUCUCUGGACCGAUACUGACGCUGAGGCGCGAAAGCGUGGGAAGCAAACAGG
rnacentral:rRNA from 1 species